GAAAAAUCAGGUAUACUUGUCCCUCCUUAUUGUUAUCCAGGGACCUUUGAUGGAAAAUGAAUAUGUGGCAGAUGUAUGUAAAACAGGAUUUGCCUGUUUGGUUAACUGCGACAUUUUAAUGACUACUCAAUCGCAGAGGAACAACAAUGAGAUCUAAGGCUGUUGACAUCUGACCGCAACAAAGUAUGAAAUAUUCCCAAAUCCGAUUCUUGUAACUCAUUUUGCUAAUUUAGAUGAUGCUCUGCAGCUAGAAGUCCUACAAAUAUAAUCACAGAACUUUAAUGUUGCUACCCUAUGAGAGUCACAGAGUCAAAGAGAUCUACAGUAUAGAAAAAGUCCGUUCAACUCAACCUGCCUGCAUCCUGUCAGAAAUAACCACUAAAUUAUUUGAAUCCCAAUAUCCAGAUUUUCUUUUGUGAUCCUUUUCAAGGGUUUCUCACUGUUAUGCAUUAAAAGUUGUGAACUUGCUCAAGAUGUUCUGCUGU